CGCUGGCGGUAUGCCUAACACAUGCAAGUCGUACGAGUAGUUUUUAACUCUAGUGGCGGACGGGUGAGUAACACGUGAGUAAUUUGCCUUUUAGGAGGGGGAUAACAAUUGGAAACGAAUGCUAAUACCCAUAUGCUUUUGAGUGAAAUGGAUUUUAUCCGCCUAGAGAGAAGCUCGCGGCUGAUUAGCUUGUUGGUAAGGUAAGAGCUUACCAAGGCGACGAUCAGUAUCUGGUUUGAGAGGACGAUCAGACACACUGGAACUGAGACACGGUCCAGACUCCUACGGGAGGCAGCAGUGGGGAAUUUUCCGCAAUGGGCGAAAGCCUGACGGAGCAAUACCGCGUGAGGGAAGACUGCCUAUGGGUUGUAAACCUCUUUUUUCAGGGAGGAAUAAAAUGACGUGUACCUGAAGAAUAAGCAUCGGCUAACUCCGUG
rnacentral:rRNA from 1 species